rnacentral:rRNA from 1 species
ACGUACGGCCAUAGGUCGCAGAAUAUAGGGCUUCCCGUCCGCUCAGCCGUUACUCAAGCUGCGAACCGGCCGAUUAGUACUCAAGUGGGUGACCAUUGGGGAAUCCCGGCUCUGUUGUACGUU